CUUGGUCAUUUAGAGGAAGUAAAAGUCGUAACAAGGUCUCCGUUGGUGAACCAGCGGAGGGAUCAUUACCGAGUACUAUAACUCAUAACCCUUUGUGAACCUUUAUACCUGUUGCUUCGGCGGCGCGCCUCCCGGGGCGUGCCCGCCGGCAUUAUCAGAAUCUCUGUUCGAACCCGACGAUACAUCUGAGUGUUCUAAGCGAACUGUUAAAACUUUCAACAACGGAUCUCUUGGCUCCAGCAUCGAUGAAGAACGCAGCGAAACGCGAUAUGUAAUGUGAAUUGCAGAAUUCAGUGAAUCAUCGAAUCUUUGAACGCACAUGGCGCCUUCCAGUAUCCUGGGAGGCAUGCCUGUCCGAGCGUCGUUUCAACCCUCGAGCCCCCGUGGCCCGGCGUUGGGGAUCUGCCCAGGCAGUCCCCGAAAACCAGUGGCGGACCCGUUGGGCCCUUCCUUUGCGUAGUAACAUCUGCCUCGCAUCGGGAGCCUGCGGGCUAUCCGGCCUCUAAACCCCCCUCAAGCCCGCUCCGGCGGCACCAAGGUUGACCUCGGAUCAGGUAGGAAUACCCGCUGAACUUAAGCAUAUCAAUAAGCGGAGGAAAAGAAACCAACAGGGAUUGCCUCAGUAACGGCGAGUGAAGCGGCAACAGCUCAAAUUUGAAAUCUGGCUCCUUCGGGGCCCGAGUUGUAAUUUGUAGAGGAUGCUUCGGGUACGGGUUCCUUCCGAGUUCCCUGGAACGGGACGCCAUAGAGGGUGAGAGCCCCGUCUGGUAGGACACCCAGCCCGUGUGAAGCUCCCUCGACGAGUCGAGUUGUUUGGGAAU
rnacentral:sRNA from 1 species